GACAGAGGGGGCAAGCGUUGCUCGGAAUCACUGGGCGUAAAGGGCGCGUAGGCGGGAUGGCAAGUCAGUCGUGAAAUCUCUCGGCUCAACCGAGAAACGUCGGCUGAUACUGCCGUUCUUGAGGGAUGCAGAGGAGACUGGAAUUCCCGGUGUAGCGGUGAAAUGUGUAGAGAUCGGGAGGAACACCGGUGGCGAAGGCGGGUCUCUAGGCCGAUACUGACGCUGAGGAGCGAAAAGCGUGGGGAGCGAACAGG
rnacentral:rRNA from 1 species